UACGUAGGGUGCGAGCGUUGUCCGGAAUUACUGGGCGUAAAGAGCUCGUAGGUGGUUUGUCGCGUUGUUCGUGAAAACCGGGGGCUUAACCCUCGGCGUGCGGGCGAUACGGGCAGACUUGAGUACUGCAGGGGAGACUGGAAUUCCUGGUGUAGCGGUGGAAUGCGCAGAUAUCAGAAGGAACACCGGUGGCGAAGGCGGGUCUCUGGGCCGAUACUGACGCUGAGGAGCGAAAGCGUGGGGAGCGAACAGG
rnacentral:rRNA from 1 species